rnacentral:rRNA from 1 species
UACGUAGGGGGCAAGCGUUGUCCGGAAUCAUUGGGCGUAAAGAGCGUGUAGGUGGCUCGGUAAGUCCGCUGUAAAAGUCCAGGGCUCAACCCUGGAAAGCCGGUGGAAACUGUCGAGCUAGAGUCCGGAAGAGGCGAGUGGAAUUCCUGGUGUAGCGGUGAAAUGCGCAGAUAUCAGGAGGAACACCCGUGGCUAAGGCGGCUCUCUAGUACGGUACUGACGCUGAGACGCGAAAGCGUGGGGAGCGAACAGG